CUCGUAGGCGGUUCGUCGCGUCCGGUGUGAAAGUCCAUCGCUUAACGGUGGAUCUGCGCCGGGUACGGGCGGGCUGGAGUGCGGUAGGGGAGACUGGAAUUCCCGGUGUAACGGUGGAAUGUGUAGAUAUCGGGAAGAACACCAAUGGCGAAGGCAGGUCUCUGGGCCGUUACUGACGCUGAGGCGCGAAAGCGUGGGGAGCAAACA
rnacentral:rRNA from 1 species